rnacentral:tRNA from 1 species
ACUUAAAUAGCUUAUAAAGAGUAUGAUAUUGAAGAUAUCAGGGAAAUGUAAUAUUUUUAAGUA